AUAACCCUACCUCUCAUCCGAUCGUGCUCACCUCAGCCGCCGCCAUGAUGAAGAAGUCAACACGUCCUACUCCUAGAUCUGCAGCAACAGGAGAAGCACAACGCCGAAGCUCAAGGUUCCUAGGUAACGCUGAUGCAUCAAAUUCAUCAGCCACGACCCAGACACCAGCAGCCGGACGAAGAAGGGGAUAGGAGAAGCCGACCGCUUCGACGUAGCAGAGGCCGGCGGCGGCAGCCACCACCACGGAGUCCGGCAGCAGCGCAGGUGCGCCGUCCGCCUGAGACACUCCCCGCCAUGGAGUCCGACGACGGCGCAGGUGCCUUCCUCCCCGGUCGCCGUGCCCCGCCAUCCUUAGCCACACCUAGCCGUCCUCCCUGCCCGCCGUCCCCCGCACCUCUUCUAGUCGAUUGGCCCUCAUGCUCCGGCGUGGACAUCUUCUGCUGAUGGAAAUUGGCCCAUACACGAUGGAGAUUGGAAUUUGUGAAGAUUGUUUUUCAUAUCCUUGAUCCAUUGGAUUCCACCACUGGAAGCAGCAGCCUAGUCACCGCCCCUACUCUGACAUCCCCUUAACAUGAAGCUGAUGAGGUACCAGUAUCACAGGCUGAGCCCAUGAAUACAGAUUCAGUUGUCAUAGAGGAAGACAGCAAAGAAGAUGAAGCACAAGCGGAAGAAAAUGAAGCAGAAGAAGUAGUCGUUCGUCCUAGGAGGAAGUUGACAUCUCCUGUUUGGAAGGAGUUUAAGAAAGUAAAAGUGAUGAACAGAAUGAAGGCCAAGUGUAACUGGUGCUCAAAGAAGCUUGAAGGGGAACCAAGAAAUGGAACGAAGCAUCUCCUUGACCAUUUAAAGAUUGUACAUGGAAAGAAGGUUUAGAGCGCAUCACACUAUAAAGGGGGUUCCUUCUGUACUUACUACAAGUCAGCUCAACUUCAACAAAUAAUGAUGCCGAACACAUACCAAGGCUGUAGCUGUUAGCUUGCUACCACUGCAAUACUUUUGUGCACGAUCAUGUUUACCUUAAGUUAGUUAUGGUCACAUGGAACCUUAUGUUGGAGUCAAUAAAUUAUGUCAAGUGAGUCAGACAAAUUUCGUAGUCAAUAAAUUAUGUCAAGUGAGUCGGACAAAAUUUUGUCCUUAUUAAAUGUGGUGUUUGCAUUGAUACUCUCUUUAAGCGUGUGCUCAAGCUAUUCAAUAUUUCUAUGAUAUUUGUGUUCAA